AUACGGAGGGUGUAAGCGUUAUCCGGAUUCAUUGGGUUUAAAGGGUGCGCAGGCGGAAUGAUAAGUCAGUGGUGAAAUCCUACAGCUUAACUGUAGAACUGCCAUUGAUACUGUCAUUCUUGAGUACACUUGAAGUGGGCGGAAUGUAUCAUGUAGCGGUGAAAUGCAUAGAUAUGAUACAGAACUCCGAUAGCGAAGGCAGCUCACUAAAUUGUAACUGACGCUCAGGCACGAAAGCGUGGGGAGCAAACAGGAUUAGAAACCCGGGUAGUCC
rnacentral:rRNA from 1 species